GUAUUGUGUAAUGUAUAAAUGUAACAAAUCCUGAACCUGAAAAGUAGCAAAACCUGAACCUAAUAUAAUAUUACAUUGUAUGUCACCUAUACUUCAAUAACAUAACUUCAACAAAUAAUUCAAAGGAGCUUUACAUAAAAUUGGGAAGUCUCUGGCUAUUGUUUUAUGAUAUCUUAUAGAACAAAUGUGUCCAAUAAUCAUACCAUAUAGCCUCUACUCAAAGUUUUAGGUGUAAGUCAAUUCCUUCAACAAGAGGUGGGAGAAAUUAAUUAUCUGCUGUUUCUGUAAGUCACACACACUUAAGGACUUGAUUAUCUUUUUCCUCUAAACUGUGUUAGUGGUUGGAUCAUAGCUGAAUAGUUAGAAGAAUCUUGGUAUUGUCCAGUGAAAUUCCAGAAAAAAAUCAUCAUUCUAAUUUGAGCUAUAUUUAUAAUUAGGGUUGCAUUUUGGGGUGUGAGAAGUUCGAUACAUUUUAUUAUUUUCACAUGACAUCAUUUUUAUAUUUUUGCUUUUCAUCAAAAUAUAUUAUUACAAUGGCAAAAUGGAACAUGAUGAUUCCAGUAUCAUCACCAAGCUGGUUGUUGGGAGAUUUUCAGGUUGCUCCAAGAUGAGAUCCUCCUCUUCUACUUCUCUCUGCUCUACCUGAUGAGUCUCCUUGAAAAUACAACCAUUAUCACCUUAGUCAUUCCGAACUCCAUUCUGCAGACACCCAGUCAGUCAGAGAUGGGGCAAGAUGGUGAAAGAGAAGCGUCCCCAAGGCAUCUGUCACCACCAACUUACCGAGAUAACUUUCAAAUCAUCCUGAAAACCUACAAAUCAGCCUGAGAUUUAAAGAGAGAAAAGCUGGAACGCUACUGUGAUAAAAAUUCGUGCUUCUAUCAAGGUAGGAAGAUGGGAAAAAAUAAAUAAAAAAGGAUCCAAGGGGGAGGAGCCCCCAUGAGGAGCCCUGCUAAGGCCAUGCGGCUAGUGCCUCCAGGACAGGAAAGCCCUGUCCCAGAGAAACAGGAACUUUACCAAUAUUCCCAGAAGGAAAGGCGCUCAUAGGGAACUUAGGGAGGAUCCCAGAAGGGGCAGUGUUGGCCUCAGGUUCCCGGGAUCACUAACAGAGAAAUUGCACCUUGGGGGAGAGUGCCACACACCACAGGCAGAGCUCCCUAAAGGGCUGGAGCGCAUGCCCUGCGGGGCCCAGGGAGCAGCCUGGGCAGUGGCUCUGCACAGAGUGGUGAGAUAAGAUGGAUUAUUGUGAGACACAAAUCCAUCAAAAUCCUAGAGGAGAACACAGGCAACACCCUUUUUGAACUUGGCCACAGCAACUUUUAAAAAUUUUUAAAUAUAUUGAAUAGCAGUGGUGAGAGUGGACAUCCCUGUCUUGUUCCUGAUCUUAGGGGAAAGGCUCCCAGUGCUUCCCCAUUGAGAAGGAUAUUUGCUGUGGGCUUUUCGUAGAUGGCUUUUAAGAUGUCGAGGAAUAUUCCCUCUAUCCCUACACUCUGAAGAGUUUUGAUCUGGAAUGGAUGCUGUAUUUUGUCAAAUGCUUUCUCUGCAUCUAAUGAGAGGAUCAUAUGGUUCUUGGUUUUUCUCUUGCUGAUAUGAUGAAUCACAUUGAUUAUUUUACGAGUGUUGAACCAGCCUUGUGUCCCGGGGAUAAAUCCUACUUGGUCAUGGUGAAUAAUUUUCUUAAUGUACUGUUGGAUCUUAUUGGCUAGUAUCUUGUUGAGAAUUUUUGCAUCCAUGUUCAUCAGGGAUAUCGGUCUGCAAUUCUCCUUUUUGGUGGGGUCUUUGUCUGGUUUUGGAAUUAAGGUGAUGCUGGCCUCAUAGAAUGAAUUUGGAAGUACUCCAUCUCUUUCUAUCUUUCCAAACAGCUUUAGUAGAAUAGGUAUGGUUUCUUAUUUAAACGUUUGAUAGAAUUCCUCUGGGAAGCCAUCUGGCCCUGGACUCUUAUGUCUUGGGAGGUUUUUGAUGACUGCUUCAAUUUCUUCUCUGGUUAUUGGCCUGUUCAGGUUUUCUAUUUCUUCCUGUUCCAGUUUUGGAAAUUUGUGGCUUUCCAGGAAUGCGUCCAUUUCUUCUAGAUUGCCUAAUUUAUUGGCGUAUAGCUGUUCAUAAUAUGUUUUUAAAAUCGUUGUAUUUCCUUGGUGUUGGUAGUGAUCUGUCCUUUCUCAUUCAUGAUUUUAUUAAUUUGAGUCUUCUCUCUCUUCUUUUUAAUAAGGCUGGCUAAUGGUUUAUCUAUCUUAUUAAUUCUUUCAAAGAACCAACUCCUGGUUUUGUUGAUCUGUUCCACAGUUCUGGUCUCGAUUUCGUUGAGUUCUGCUCAACUCUUUAUUAAUUCUAUUCUUCUGCUGGGUGUAGGAUCUAUUUGCUGUUUUUUUCUCUAGCUCCUUUAGGUGUAAGGUUAGCUUUUGUAUUUGAGUUCUCUCCAGUUUUUUAAUGGAUGCUUGUUAUUUCCCCUUAGGACUGCUUUUGCUGCAUCCCAAAGAUUUUUAACGGUUGUAUCUUCAUAGAAAACCCAAAAGCCUCCACCUCAAGAUUGCUAGAACUCAUACAGCUAUUUGGCAGCGUGGCAGGAUACA
rnacentral:lncRNA from 1 species